ACGAAGGGGGCUAGCGUUGUUCGGAAUUACUGGGCGUAAAGGGCGUGUAGGCGGCUUGCAAAGUCGGGCGUGAAAGCCCCGGGCUCAACCCGGGAAUUGCGUUCGAUACUGGCGAGCUAGAGUUCGGGAGAGGGUCGUGGAAUUCCCAGUGUAGAGGUGAAAUUCGUAGAUAUUGGGAAGAACACCAGUGGCGAAGGCGGCGACCUGGACCGAUACUGACGCUAAGGCGCGAAAGCGUGGGGAGCAAACAGGA
rnacentral:rRNA from 1 species